GACGAACGCUGGCGGCGUGCUUAACACAUGCAAGUCGAACGAUGAAGCCAGCUUGCUGGUGGAUUAGUGGCGCACGGGUGCGUAACACGUGGGUGAUCUGCCCCAAACUUUGGGAUAAGCCUGGGAAACUGGGUCUAAUACCGAAUAUGACCGAUACUCGCAUGGGUGUUGGUGGAAAGCUCCGGCGGUUUGGGAUGGGCCCGCGGCCUAUCAGCUUGUUGGUGGGGUAAUGGCCUACCAAGGCGACGACGGGUAGCCGGCCUGAGAGGGCGACCGGCCACACUGGGACUGAGACACGGCCCAGACUCCUAUGGGAGGCAGCAGUGGGGAAUAUUGCACAAUGGGCGCAAGCCUGAUGCAGCGACGCCGCGUGAGGGAUGACGGCCUUCGGGUUGUAAACCUCUUUCACCAGGGACGAAGCGAAAGUGACGGUACCUGGAGAAGAAGCACCGGCCAACUACGUG
rnacentral:rRNA from 1 species